AGAGUUUGAUCAUGGCUCAGGAUGAACGCUGGCGGCGUGCCUAAUACAUGCAAGUCGAACGAGGUGCUUGAGUAGCAAUACGAGAGUAUCCUAGUGGCGAACGGGUGAGUAACGCGUGGAUGACCUGCCCCAAAGUGUGGGAUAACAGUCCGAAAGGAUUGCUAAUACCUCAUGUGGUUAUCGGGUUUAGAAACUGAUAACUAAAGCAGCAAUGCGCUUUGGGAGGGAUCUGCGUCCCAUCAGCUAGUUGGUGAGGUAACGGCUCACCAAGGCGACGACGGGUAGGGGACCUGAGAGGGUGGCCCCCCACAAUGGAACUGAAACACGGUCCAUACACCUACGGGUGGCAGCAGUAGGGAAUAUUGCUCAAUGGGCGAAAGCCUGAAGCAGCAACGCCGCGUGUGCGAUGAAGGCCUUCGGGUCGUAAAGCACUUUUCUGAGAGAUGAGAAAGGACAGUAUCUCAGGAAUAAGUCUCGGCUAACUACGUGCCAGCAGCCGCGGUAAAACGUAGGAGGCGAGCGUUAUCCGGAUUCACUGGGCGUAAAGCGCGUGCAGGCGGUUCGGUAAGUUGGGCGUGAAAUCUCCUGGCUUAACUAGGAGAGGUCGUUCAAUACUACCGGGCUUGAGAGUGGUAGAGGAAGAUGGAAUUCCAGGUGUAGUGGUGAAAUGCGUAGAUAUCUGGAGGAACACCAGUGGCGAAAGCGAUCUUCUGGACCAUUUCUGACGCUCAGACGCGAAAGCUAGGGUAGUAAACGGGAUUAGAGACCCCGGUAAUCCUAGC
rnacentral:rRNA from 1 species